ACUAUGUUUUUGGUUCUGUUACUGGCUCCUAGGGAAAAGAAAUUGCAAUAAAAUAGGCAUUUCUAAAGAAAUAACUUAGGAUUAGGAUUCCUUCAAGAAUUCAUACAAGAAUUAAGAACACUGUAGAAAAUCAAGUAAUAUAAAUUAGAAGUGAAAAUGUCCAUUAGAUUAAUUUGAUGAUUCUAGACAUGAGAAUCUGUAAGUUAUUUUCUAUCAUUUUGUCCUCAUUUUUAAAGUCUCAGACAAUGCAACUUCCAUCACUUGAAUCUCAUUCAGUAAUGUGUAUACAGCUAUUCAUUCAUUCAACAAGUCACUUUGUUCAGAGGCAUUUGCCUCUGAUACUAGUAUCUUCAAUGUCAUCAAAAUGCAUUUUAUUAAGAUGACAAUUGAGCAUGUAGGAGAAGCUUAAGCUUUCCCACUUGUUUAGAAGACCAUGAAAUGAAGCAGAAUAAAAAGUUAUAAUUCAGUAUAAUAAAAUUUGUGAAUAUUAUCCUAAAGAAGUGUUCAGGUAGCUUGGUUACUUUGCCAGAGGAAUGACAAUGUAAACAGAAGCUUAAACUGUUCCUAUCCUAGAGAAGUUAAAUGUGGUCCUACUCAAAUACUUAAAAAUUGGCGCGACUUAAAUUUGUGUGACCUUAAGCAAAUUGCUCUCUCCAAACCUCAGCUGUAAAUUUUAAGUAAGAGGUUGAACUUGGAUCUGUUUUGUCCCAAAUUUUUAUAAUCCUAGAACAGAGUCAGCCUCCAAUGUAUUUAUUUUAUGAAUAAUUCUGUACACUGACAUAUUACUCAUUAAAGCAAAGGAAAAUAAGUUAAAUAAUCUUGUAGAUUUAUGUGGAAACCUUAGUUAUCACCUUAGAAUUUUGGGUAUUAUAUAUUUAAGUUUUCCAUUCUAGAAAAAAAAAUUAGAUUUUUUUUCCUACCCUUUUGUCAGAUUGUCACCUUGACUGUAUGAGACAUGGCCAACAAAAGGAAAACAACCCCCAUAGAAACUUGAAGAAGGAGAGGCACUGUAAAUGAAAAAUAAGAAAUCUUUUAAUGUUUAUCAGAUAAAGAAAGCAUUUCAUUGAAAGCAUUUAAUUGAAUUAAUGGGACACUAUGGAGUACCAGAUGGUUUAGUUAACUGACAUUUACAAUGAUCUUAAACCUUGUUUGAAUAUUUUGUAAAAUAUUAAUAAAAAUUACAAUAUUUCAGUAUAUUUUCUUAAACAGUAUGCUGAAUAUUAUUAAAUUUUAUGUAAGGAUCAAGUCAUAUAAAGUAUUAUGUAAUAAUAAGUAUAGAAGUUUCAAGAGUAGUGUUUAAUGUGUUUUAAGCCAUAACAUCCAGAGGGUGUUUGAUUAUAAUUUUUCUUAAAGUUAACUUCUUUUUUCUUGAAGUAGAGUGUAAGAGACAAAUUCAGGUUAACUAAGGAUUCAAUUUGAAGAAUUCCAGUUUCCUUUAAGCAAAAUUUUACUUUAUUUCAAACUGAACAAAAUUAUGUUGUAUUCAUAAUUUGACAACACACUUGAAAGGUGUACACUAUAAAGGAUUCAAAUUACAAACCUUUCAGUUAUAAUCUGUUGGUUGUAAGCAAGGCCAUGUACUUGUAAAUUUCUCCUACUGCCAGAAAUUGUAUCAGAAGGGACUAAAUUAUCAAGAAUGGCUACUGGUGUUUUGUUUUGUUUUGUUUUGUUUUUGGCUCUGUGGCAUGGGGGAUCUUAUUUCCCCGACCAGUGGUCAAACCCGUGCCGCCUGCCGUGGAAACACAGUCUCAACCGCUGAACCAUCAGGGAAGUCCCAAGAAUGGCUACUGGUUUUGAUCAUGGUUAUGUACAUAAAUGUAUGUUAUAUACUCUACCGAAGUAGAGUAGCACAGUUUUAUUCAUAUGCAAAUCUAUUUUUGAAUAGUGUGAAAAAUCUGAGGUGGUGAUAAUUUGAGGUGUCAUAUUCCAUAAAUGAGAGUGAAUAUAAUUUCAUCUCAUCAAGAAUAGUUAUUAUAAUAAUACUUUAAAUGCCUUGAAAGUUUUCUUUUUUCAUUUUUCAAGUGAGAUAAUCUUUUAUUAUUAAAGACCUAUUCUAUGCCCAGUACUUCACUAUAGUCUAAAAAAGAUGGUCACUGUCGGCAAAGAACUUCUGGCCUAGAUGGUAAUAUUAUACUAACUUACAGGAAACAACUAGAGAAGAGUGGAGUGUAAAGUCUGUCUUGCUGACCUGAAGUGCAAUAGAAGCUCAAAGGAAAUGUGGAUUUGGACAACAGAGAAGACUUCUUAGAGGAGGUUGAAAAUGAGCUGGGCUUAAAGAAUAGAUAGGAUUAAUUCAGUGAAAUGAAGGAAUUGGAGACUUACAAGUGCAGAAAACAUGAACCAAAGCAUGAUCAAGUAGGAAGGAGUAAAGUAGAGUUACUGGGUUGAAAACAGAUUGGUACUGGGGAGUAGGUAGGGAAAUGAGUGUAACCAUGGUUGAGAUUGUUUUCCUUCCUUUGCAUAAAAUGCCCUAAUUUCUAAUUGAAGAAAAUGAGAGUAUAUUCGGAUUGCCUGCAGCCCUUCGAAAAUCAAGGUGUGAUGAUUUGAAGAAAAAUCACGAUUUGUAAGAAAUGUUGGAAGGAAUCUUGGCUUAAAUUAGACGAGUUUACCUGAAACACUGGGGGUCUAUAGCCUUUAACUGAGCAAAUCAAGUGAGAAAUCUUGAGAGGCAGGGGUUGCAUAGCCAAAAGUCUACUCUCAGGGAUAUUUUUUGCCCAGGUGAGAUUGACCUUAUCACUAUGGGAAUGAUCGCAAAUACCACAGUACUGUUGUUAAGCCAAAUAAAAACACUGUACUCCUUUUCCAAACCUCUAAUUUGCAUACAAGCCUUAGCUCAAGUUAUGUCCUUUCCCUCAUCUUCAGCUGUCUAAAUAUUCUUAGGCUAUCUAGCCCCUGCAUGUAAUUUUCCCAGUUCACUUUUCUUCCUCUCCCAGAAAUACCAUUUCUCUCUUUUGUGCUCCUAUUCCUGAUCUAGAACAAUUAACACAUCCUGCUUUAUGGGCAGAGGCUAUUUUAUUUUUUAUUGUAUACUCUGCAAGUCUAACAUAGUGGGUGCUUGAUAAAUGGCAGUUGAUUGCUGAAAAUCAGUAGUGAUUUGGUGAUAAAUUAAUAUGUUCUGGAAAGACUGAAUACCAGCCAGAUAAAUAUAGAAAUGCCCAAGCUCUUGCCUGGUAAUUUAGAAGUUCUCCACCUUUUACUGUUUCACUUACCAGGGCUCAGGGCUCCUCUCAUUCUAUGCUACCUAUUAACAUUCAAGUCUUAGCUACCUUAAAGUUUUUUUUAAAAAAACUUAAUCAAAGCCAGAAACCUGUGGGUGGGGGUAUGAAUAGCUGGAAAGCCUAUGAAAUUUUGAGGGUUAUAAAUGAUCUGAUUGAUCAUCUAAAACUUUCCAACAAAGUAUAAUUUAACUGUUUCCUAUUGGCUUUUAUUUGUUGUCUCUCUGAGGAGAUGGGAGAUGGUAGUAGAAUGAAAAGUCCUUACAUUAAAAAAUACUUUUCAAAAAAAUUUUUUUCAAGAAGCAUCGUUACCAUAAUUACAAAAAUAAAUGUGUUGAACAUCUGCUGCAAUUCUUUAAAGUGACUCUCUAAAGUUAAUUGUAUGCUUCUGAAUCCCUCUGCUUACUAGAGCUACCUUAUUGAGUGAAAUGGGUUUUCUUAUAAACUUUCUUGGACAAUUUUGUAAGACAGUAUCCAAGUCACACGAAAAAGCUUUCAGAAAUCUCAGAAGGCAAAGAAAAUUGUGGAUCAAAUAUGUAGCAUUUGUUUUCUGCUAGGACAUUUAAGUCAUAUUUAUAAUGUGAUAAGGAUUUAUUUUUAUGUAUCCUUAAGAGCUUUUAAAUAAAAUCUAUAGGACAUUUAUGUCUGAUUUCCAGAACCUAUAUAUAUAUAAAUUACAUUUUUUUGAAAAGUCUAAUGUUGCUGUUGGGUUGGGUUUGGCUUUGAGGGAGGUUGACGUAUUUGUUAUACUUAACAUUUAGCCAGAAGUCAGGAAUUCAACCAGCAAUUAAAUAAUGGUUCCCACGGUGAAGCAUUUUCCCCUCUACACUGAUUUGCUUUAUGACCUGUUUUCUAGGCACUUAUUUUGACAUCACCACUGCCCCCACAAAAAAAAAAAAAAAAAGUGAGAACUGACUAUAUCACGGGUACCUAGACCAUGUGGAGAAAGGACUGAGACCGGAAGCAGAAAACACAUUGUCCGUACAGAGCAAAGUGCCAGACAACAGCUCACUCUAGUAAAGGGCGAUAAAUGCCACAUGAGAUGGUCUCCUCAGUUCAAAACUAGUGUCAUAUCUCAAGCUUGUGCCUAUAGGAAAAUCCUACACUGGUAUCAGUUAUGAAGUUGCAUCUGACUUAUGUGCCUGGUCUGAUGACUUCAACUAUCUUUUCAUGACUCCUAAAUUAUGGAGAUAGAUCCAAUAGAAGGCCGAACAAUUCAUGACAAAGCUGUUCUGGGACCAAGCUGGCGAUCCCGAGGCGCUGGAAGUGAAGCCAGGCGUGUUGGGUAGCGGAGCGGGUUUUCAGCAGCCCGGGCGCGCUGCCCCCGCCGCCCACCCGCACGCCGUUGCUCCCCAUCCCCCCGUUCCGGGGCCUGGCUGCUUUCGGCUGUGCUGCCAGGACUGGAGCGCCGACUGAGCUCUCCGCCAGGCCCCCCCACCCCACCACUCACGCAGGUGCCUGCCCGGUCAGGGCAAAUCCCCACCCCCCUUCCCCGUAAGGACCCGGGCGGCGGGUACUUAUCUCGGACCUCCGGGACCGCUGGAGAGGACCCGCCGGGAGCCGCGCAGCGGCCAGUCCUCCAGCCGCGGGCACCGCGCGCUACGAGCCGGAACGGCUGCAAAAUGGAUUCGCGGCGCCGACGGGCCCCGCCCCAAGGCCCUCCUCCCCCGGCACCUCGGUCCGCCUCCCAGGCCGGGCCUCCCCUUUCCCCCGGGGAGGGAGUGGGUGAGGGGAGGCGGGAGUCCUUCCGGUAUCUCCAACCGCCACCGACGACCGCCGCUGGCCGCAGUGCGCCUGGGAGAGGGGAGGGUUCCUGGCUGCUGGCUUCUCUCCUUUCCAGAGGGGCUGCGCGCGCCCGCGAAGCGCCGUGCCCCGGGCGCCGAGAAGGGGACGUGGAUCGCGCAGACCCGCGGGCUCGGCCUGGACCGAGCGCGGGCGACGGGAGGCGGCGUUGUCCCCGGUGGAGCCGCCUGGGAAGAAAGCCGGCGCGCAACAAGAUGGUUGGGUUUGGAUUGUUGUACUUUUUUUUUUGUUCGUUGAAUUUUUAGGAACAAAAAAAAAAGCCCAACCCUUCACACCGCUUCAUCUGCAUCUCUCAGGACCAGAGGCCCGGCCACAGCGGCUUGGGGGGACGGAGACGACUGUCCGCCCCGCACCCCACAACCCGGGGUGGGUGGGACGGGCGCCCGCGCUGCUCCAGCCGCAGCACAAUCAAAACAGUUAACUACUGCACCCACCCACACCUUGCAUCUAUGUAUUUCUUUGCAGGCUUUAGGCCGAACACUAGCCACCCAAUUCAAGGUUUCUUUUUAGGAAAAACACCACCGCCCUUUUCUUUGGAGAGAAGGAAAAACUCAAGUAUGGCUCUAAAUUAUCAGCCGCUAGCCUGACUCACUCUUCUGACGUCCGGCGCCCUGUAUAGGGACCUUCUCUAAUAGCAAACGCAUUAAGCACUUACCAAGGAGCGGUUGCAAGAAGAUUGCAAAGAUGAAAGAAUGGCUUCUCCAAAACUUGCCAUCUUGGGGGAUGUGAAGCAAGGACAAAAAUCACAGAAUAUGCCCUGGGGUUGAGUUCGCCCCCCUCCCCCGCCCCACUUGGGGAAGUCUGGGAUUUGGAAGUAGAAUUGGGGGAAAAGGUAUUCGAGGUCUAUUUACAGUCCUUGGACCCGGUGACUAACAAUGCUAGCUCAAACCCCAUAAAAAGCUCCUCCCCACUCCCUUCUGAUAUGUCCGGUUCCUCACCAUGCCCGGGGUCCCUUAAAUCCAGUUUUGUGUGUGUCUCCCUUAAACCCAAUUUUGCCUUUGAAGAACAGUUCCUAUAUUUAUGUCAUUUUGUCUUCAUAAGAACACUGUGGAAUGGAAAUUAUGAUCUUCAUCCUAUAGAUGAGGAAACGGAUGAAGUGAUUUCUCCAAGGCAAAAAACAAGAGGCAGCGCUGAGACUCUCAAGUCAGAUUCCAGGUACACGGUCUUUCUACGGCACGGUAACUGUCAGUGCCAACGAAAACUGCACCCCAGUCUCCUACUAAAUAAGUGUUAUUAAAAGAAAAUCAAACACCUGAUUUGUAGAAACAUUUUGAAUACCCUAAUAUUAAAAUGAUACAAGAGUGAAAGGUUAUUAACUCAUAAAUCAGAAAUUGUCCUUAUGUAAUUAUAUAAUACAUAUGUGUAUCUGGUUGUUGGUAGAUAGCAAUUAACUUCUAACCAACUAAAUGUAAAACAUUGGUUAAAUCUGCAUAGAAAUGCCUAGAUUGUUUAAAAAAAAAAUUAACUACUAAGAGACCAUCGUAUAUUAAACUCUCUUAAGUGUAGAAAAAUAGGGAAGGAAGAAUAACCUAUUUUCCCUCCCAUGGUCCUAAUAAAUCAGCCAAUCAGGGAAUCACCACAUAUAGUGUGACUAGAAAAAGAGAUUAAAACCUGCAUACACGGGGCUUCCCUGGUGGCGCAGUGGUUAAGAAUCCGCCUGCCAGUGAAGAGCACACAGGUUUGAGCCCUGGUCCAAGAAGAUCCCACAUGCCGCGGAGCAGCUAAGCCCAUGCACCACAACUACUGAGCCUGUGUGCCACAACUACUGAGCCCCUGUGCCACGACUACUGAAGCUUGCGUGCCUAGAGCCCGAGCUCCGCAACAAGAGAAGCCACGACAAUGAGAAUCCAGCGCACUGCAACGAAGAGUGGCCCCUGCUCGCCGCAACCAGAGAAAAGCCUGCGCACAGCAACAAAGACCCAACGCAACCAAAAAUAAAAUAAAUUUAAAAAUUAAAAAACCCUACAUACACGGAUUAAAACCCACCCACACAGCUACCUCCUUCCUGGAAGAGCACACUAUAACUAGAUCCCAUACCGAGGGACUGUCAAAAUUCUUAUCACACUGGAAUUUCCUUUUAUUGACUGUUCUUCAAACAAGCAGAAUAAGCUUAAGAUUGGAAUUCAUAUGUCACCACAGCAAUAAGAUGUAGUCUUAUGUAAGUUUGUCUUUUGUGAAAAAUAUAUUUUUACAGGUAGAAUUUCUAAUGUUAUAUAUUUGAAAUAUAUAUAUAUACACACAUAUAUAUUCUUAUUUUUGUGAUUUAUUUCAUGGUGUUGUUUUUGUCCUGAGCCUUGACAAAGGUGAAAUCCACCAGCUUUCCUUCCACCUACCAAGACAUGAUCAGAUGUUCCAUAACAAAAGGGACAGUGCCAAAUUUGGUGUACACUGAAAUGUAAAUUAUCAGAAUGGGGAACGUCUAAUAAUUAAGACUGGAGCAGUUAUGUGCAGGAGAGGGGUGCUGGUGAGCCUCCUUAGAUAUACUGGAACAUUUCAUUACUAUUCUGUCUUUCCCUUCCCAAUAGCUGCCAAAGUCAUGAAUGCAAGCCCCAACAUUCCCCAACGAGAAUUCCUGGCAAUACAAGGCACUGACAUUGCAAGGUGUAGCAAAAAGAGCAGACACUUUGGAAUGAAUUCUGCAUCCAAACUCUAGCUCUGCCAUAUACAAGUUGUUCAAGUUACUAAGCAUCUCUAAGCCUCAGUUUUCUCUUCUGUAAAAUGGGGAUCAUGUUUCACUUGAUUGUGAAAAUCAGAUAACAUACAAAGCAACCAACAUGGUAUCUGACAUAUAGGAGGUACUUAAUAAACGGUUGCUACUGCUAUAUGGGAGAAGAAAACCAUGCUGGUUUUGAAUAACAGUUGUUUUGGAUUUGUAAUGUGAGGCUUAAGCACGAUAGUCUUAAGCAGAGCUAAACUGCCUAUGCAGUAGAGGAAGCUAGCACCAUAAUUUCUGCUUUUUUUACACCCAGCCCAGGGUGGCCUUUUAUUUUAUAAAUUUAUUUAUUUAUUUAUUUAUUAUUUAUUUUUGGCAGCGUUGGAUCUUCGCUGCUGCGCGCACACUUUCUCUAGUUGCUGAGAGUGGGGGCUACUCUUUGUUACAUCGCGGUGGCUUCUGCUUGUUGAGGAGCACGGGCUCCAGGCACACAGGCUUCAGUAGUUGUGGCUCGUAGGCUCUAGAGCGCAGGCUCAGUAGUCGUGGCGCAUGGGCUUAGUUCCUCUGCAUCCUGGACCAGGGCUUGAACCCGUGUCCCCUGCAUUGGCAGGCAGAUUCUUAACCACUGCACCACCAGGGAAGUCCCCAGGGUGGCCUUUUAAAAGCACGUAUCUUUCCACUGCUGUACCUCCUUCCUUGUGCUUAGGGAAAGGAGAGGAAAAGGAAAAAACAUCUCAUUUAAUGAAAGGAAGACUCUGCAGUGUUUUUUAAAGCUUUACAAUUUCAGUGAAAUUGUUGGAACAUCCAAAACAUUCCAUUAAAAGGAAAAGAAUCUACCUGUAAAAAUACAUUUAUCACAAAAGACAGAAACUUACCUAAGACUUGAUGAAAUUAAAGGAAUUAGUCCUUGGUUUGAAGAAAAUUACAGGUUGCAUAUAUUUCAAUUGCACAGUGAAGAUCGUGCAUUAGAUGGAGCAAACAGCAAGAUCAGUUAGCUUUGGGAGAGAAUGAGAGAUGCUUAAACAACAGUAAACUUGGCCUUUAGUUGUGCCAUUUGUUUAGAUGGAAAAAUAAGUUAUAAGAAUAAAAUGUCAGAGGUAAUUAAGAUGAUAUUAACAUAUGCUUAUAAUUAUAUACUCAGGAUUGUGCUAAGCACCAAAGACACUAACUGAGGAAUUUCCCAUUUGGUUGAAGAGACAAGUCUUAACAGCAUGAACUAGUUUAGUAAUAGUGGCUGUUUAAGAGUCAAUGUGAGUGGUGUGGUGAAGACAAGAUCAGAGGAAGGCAUGGAAGCAUCACGAAGAUUUCACAGGGGAGGUGGGAGUCAAACAGAAUUAAAGAUCAUAGGAUUUGAAGGUAAGAGGAAGAGCAUUGGAGGUGAGGAACACAAGUUCAGGGUGGGAAUGAGCUUCACUGAUACUGAGUCAGGGAAGAGCAUGGCCUAGUUUGGAAAAAAAGUUUGAGGCCAAAUUGUGGAAUGUUUUGAUGUCAGAAUAAAGAGUUGAACUUCAUUCUGUAGGAAAUGGGAAGCCACUGAAUAAUUAUGUAUAUGGCACUAACAAGAUGAAAACAGAAUUUGGGGAAGACUAAUCUGAUAACAGGGUCCAAGAUUUAAGGGAGAAGAAAUUUCCUUUAUUUUAAUAGUUUUGAGGUUAUUGAAAAUUAUAGUUUUUUUUAAUGCAGUAAUGUAUAUAAAAGUACAACAUAUGUGCCUAGGUUAAAUUCCAUUGAACCAUUUAACUUCAAGUGUAUUGUUUACUAAAAUUUUCAAUUUGUAAAUAAAAUGUAAUGAAUGUAGAAAGAAUUAACGAUGACAAAUACUUCUAAAGUCCUCUGAGAGGAAAUUAUGUGUAUAUAUAUAUAUUUAUAUAUCAAUCCUAUAUAAUUUAUCUUAAUAUAAUGAUCUUAACUAUAUUGUAUGACUAAAGUUAGUAUGUUGCUUAAAUAUUAACUACAUUUUAGAGUACGCCUCACUAGAGCUUUAAAAAUCAUUACAUAUACUCUGAAAUGUAGUGUUCUGUUUUGAUAUUUUUAACAAUGAUUACACUCAAUUAUGUUAAUAAUUUUUUCUCUAAACUUAAUUCCCAUACAUGUAGAAUUUUAUUCUUGAUGAAAGUCACUUCAUGAGGGCCUUAAGAAAUGACUCAUUCAGGUAAAGACUACUGUUGUAUAAAUUAUUUGCAGUUGUUUAAGAGAACUUGAUUUGUAGAAAUGGUUUAUUUUGGAAUCUUUUUGUAGCAUUCACUAAUCAUUAUGUGCUCUAGUUUUAUCUUGAAAAAUGUUAGUUAUAAUAAUAAAUUUUAUAAUUUCAAUUUAGAAAACUACUCUCACCCUGCUCUAUGAGACAUUUUUAGAACAUUUCUUCUACAAAUAAGGGUACAACAGUUUUCUAUUAUAGUUUUCAAUAACUAGUAGAUUCCUGUACUUUCUUUAUCUUAAGUAAAGGCAGUAGUAUAUCUCAUAGAACUUUGGUUCUGAAGGUCUAAAUUUAUCAGAUACCUACCUAUACAGCAUUGCACAAGAAAUACAUGCUUCUGUUUUUUAACAUGAGUCCAAUUGAGUCUCUCUGGUAUCAAAGCAUGUGGUAAUAAAUGCCUUGUCAAAAAUGUAUUUAUCUUAUAAUGGUCUUGUUGUUUAUAACACUAUGCUAAUUGUUGCUAGAAUGUGGCCGGAUCUCUGGGAACUUGCGCUGGAUCUAAAGCAGCCCACACCCCUCCCAGUCAGGCAAAAGACACAGACAAUCCAGAAGAUGUGUGAGACUCGUUAUACAAUAUGAACACAGGUUAGGCAUUUUGUGAAGGUCAUUGACCUCUGUGUUGUGAAAUUCAGUGGACAUUUUUUCAGUUCUCGUUUGCUUUGAUCUCUUAGCAGCUCUCACUGCCUCCUCCCUAAAAGGCCCUCUUACCCUGGCGUUUAGUAACAUCACGCUCACACCGGGCUUUUCUUUUUCCAACUCUUUCAGGGACUCUUGCUGGGUUGUACCCAGCAUUUAAGUUCUGUAAUUCUUUAAACACUCAGGUUCAAGACACUGUCAGGACUUCAGCUAACAUUUGACUCUCACAUUCCCUGUAAAGCAGGGAUCACAAACUGUUAGCCCGUAGUUACACCAUCUUUAAAUUUAAAUACACUUUAGCAAGGCAUGCUCCUUCUUCCUCUCCCACAGUCCUCCCUCUCUGCAGGCAUUUGUGUUAGCCGUUGUGUUGUUGCUCGAGGCCCCUGCUCCUUCCAGAUUCAGGAUUCCUGCUCCCGAAGUGCCUUCUCUCCCGAAGGAACCCCCUCACCAGCCACCAGAUUCCUCCUCCUCAUCCUCAUCCCCCAAGCACAGCACAACUGACACAUCCCAGGUAUGUCAAGCUUUCCAAGAAGUUCCAGGCCAAGGUCAGAUCCCUCAUGAUCAUCUCAUACCAUCCUAUGCUCUUCUUCCAUUGCACACGCUGCAGUUUGUUAUUAUAUAUUUAUUUGUGUAAUAAUUUAAUAAUGUUUCUCUCCCCACUUGACUGUAAAGUCCAUAAGGUCAGAGAUUGUGUGUGUUUGUGUGAGCGUGUUUAUCUGUGUUUUCUCAUCAUUGCAGCCCUAGCUCCUAACCCAGUGAUAAUAAUUAUUUUUUCAUGAAUGUUUUAGGGAAGUAAGAAUUCUCUUUUUCAGAGAUUAGUGGUAUAUUUCAAACUUCUAAAAAUUACCUGUUAAGACCAGCUGAAAUGGUAAUGUAUUCUGAAUUUUAUUCACUUAAAAUAGGCACUCUAAUAUAUUUUAUUUUAUCAAAACAAUGUUUUCCCUCUUUAUCUGCAAAGCAAAGUUUUCCAGACUCCUCCUAUAGCUUACACAGAUGUAUCAGUAGUCUUUAGUCUUUUACGGUAGAGCUUGUCUCUUAAAAAUGAGGAUAAUUUCGGAGUUCCCUGGUGGUCUAUUGGUUAUAAUUCGGUGCUUUCACUGCCGUGGCCCGGGUUCAAUCCCCCGUCAGGGAACUGAGAUCCUGCAAGCCGUGCAGCACAGCCAAAAAAAAUAGAGAAAAAUUUUUUUAAAAGGAUAAUUUCUUGAGUAGUCCAUCAGAGAAUUAUUAUAAAAAAUUGGGAACCUUCUUUUUAAGCAUAAAAAUUAAGCAAUAUGCCAUUAAAAAAAGACUUAAUGAUAUGACUAAAUAAAAAUGUAAAAAAAACCUUUUAUGUUAAAAAUACAAUAUAGUGAUAGUAGUAUAUAACUAUUAAAAGAAGAUAUAAAGCAGUACGUAUUAACAAUGAGAUAUGUAUAAGAUAUAGUAAGUGAAAAAUCAAGUUAAAAACAGUAUAUAUACUAUGAUUCCAAUUUUGAAAGGAAAUGUAAUUCAUAAUAUAUUGAUAGGAAAAAACAUUUGGAGGAAUAUACACCAAGUUAUCAAUUUGAGAAGAUGGAAAUGGGAAAUUUUCAGUACGUAUGUUUUAUAUUAUUAUAAUUUUUUUUGUAGUUUUACAUCGAGCGUCUAUUACUUUUAUACUGUAUAAAAAAGAAAAAAGAUAAAUUUGUAAAAAACACAAACUCAGAACAAAUACAUGCAAUAUAUAUAACCAUGUUCUCUUCCAAAUGAAUAACAAAUCAAACAAAAGGUAGAAAAACAAGCCAAGAACACGAAAAACAGGACACAAAAAGAAGAAAUACAAGUGACUGACAAGCAUGCAAAAAAAAUUUCAUUCUCAUUGAUAAAGAAAUACCAAGCAAAACACUUAUACAGCCUUUUUUUUAAUGACAAGUAGGCCAGCAUUGAGUGGUACAGGCCAUCCUGUUUGCUGCUGGAAACCAACAUAGAUGGAUACAACAUUUUGGAGGACAGUUAGGUAAUCUGUAUCAAAAACACUCAAAAUAUAUAUACUUAAUUCAACUUCUAGAAAUGUAUCCUAAGAAAAGAAUCAAAAACAUAAUUUAUAUAACAAGGAUAUUGUUAUGGAACUUUCAAGGGAAAAUUAGAAAUAUCCUAAUUAUCCAUUAAAGGACAUGAGUUAUAUGAAUCCUGGUACAUUCAAACAAAAUAAUAAUAUGUAGCCAUUUAAAAAUCAUGUUUUAGAAGGCUAUUUAACAACUUGAAAAAUUCUUUUAUUAUGUGAAGAAAAGCAAAUUUCAAAACUAUAUGUAGCAUGAUACUGAUUAUUUGUGUGUAUGUGUGUGAUUGCAUAUGCACAUAUUAAAAAGCCAUCACAGUAUUAACAGUUGUUACCCAUAAGCAGUAAAAAGUGAGAAUGAUUUUUAUUUUGUCCUGAUUCUUUCAUGAAUUUUUGAACAUUUCUAUAAUGGUUAUAUAAUGUAUUACUUUUAUAGUAAUAAAAAAGAAGUUCUUUUAAAGUUGCUGGCCCAUGCUUUGGAAAAAAGUUUGACCGUUCCUGUAAAGAUUAAACAUAGAGUUACUGUAUGAUCCAGCAAAUCUACACCUAGAUGUAUACCCAAGAGAACUGAAAGUAUAUGUUCACUCAAUAACUUUAACCUGAAUGUUCAUAACAGCAUUAUUCAGAAUAGCAAAAAAAAAAAAAAAAAAAAAAGGAAGCAACUCAAAUGUCCAUCAAUGGAUGAGCAGAAUGUGGUAUAUACAUACAAUGGAAUAUUAUUUAGCCAUAAAAAAGGAACAAAAUACUGAUUCAUGCUACAACAUGGAUGAACCUUGAAUACAUCAUGCUAAGUGAAAGGAAACUGACAAAAAGGCCACAUAUUGUGUGACUCCAUUCAGAUGAAUUGUCCAGAAGAAGCAAAACCAUAUAAACAGAAAGUUAGCUAGUGAUUUCCAGGACUGGGGAGAGGGAAGAAUGGUAAGUUACUGCUAGUGGUUACAAGGUUUCUUUUUGGGGUGAUGAAAAAAUUCUGGAAUUAAAUAGUGGUGAUGGUCACACAACCUUGUGAGUGUACUAAAACCCACUGAAUUAUACACUUUUAAAAGGUGAAUUUUAUGGUAUAUGAAUUAUAUCUCAAUUCUUAAAUAUGGAAAAAAGUUUAUGGCCCAUCAAAGUUUCCUGGAAAAAAAGAAUAGCAUUUAAAUGUAUAGAGUACUUUAUAUAUAAACAACCUACAAUAUGGUUAGCGCUAUGAUAGAGGGAUGGAACAUAAAAAAAAAAACAUCUAACAGUACCUGGGGGUUAGAGGAAGUUUCCAUUAAAACAGAGAUUCUUGAACUUUUUGAGAAUAAUAAAUAAAAUAACCUUUAUUUAUUAAUCCAUUUAAAAUAAUAAUGAUCCAUUGCAUUACUCAUUCCUCUCAAUGAUGACAUCUUAUAUAACCAUAGUACAGUGCCAAAACUAGGAAAUUAACAUUGACAACUAAAUAGACCACAGGCUAUUCAGGUUUUACCAGUUUUAGCAUGCAGCCACUCUUUUAAAACUUUUUGUAAUUGAAAGGACAAUACUGGGACUUCCCUGGCAGUCCAGCAGUUAAGACUCCACACUCCCAAUGCAGGGGGCAUGGGUUCGAUCCCUGGUUGGGGGAACUAAGAGCCCACAUGCCACGCCAUGCAGCCAAGAAAAAAAAAAAAGAAAGGACAAUACAACAAUAUUAAAAAUUUUAAAAUAAAUGAUUAGAGGGAAUUCCCUGACGGUCCAGUGGUUGGGACUUCGUGCUUCCAUUGCAGGGGGCACAGGUUCAAUCCCUGGUCAGGGAACUAAGAUCCCGCAAGCUGUGCAGCGCGGCAAAUAAAUAAAUAAAUAAACAUCUUAAAAAAAUUUUUUUCACAAAAUAAAUGAGUAGAACUACCUAUAAUCUCACAUUAAAACCAAUCUGAUUACCUUAUAUAGAAAUACAUUAAAUUUUUAUUACAAAAUAGUUUAAAUAUACAAAAAAGUGGUAACAUAAAAAAUAGCCAGGUACACACAUUAUCUCCAUGUAUGUUUUUACACUUUUACCACAUAUGUAAAUAUCCAUGAAAAUAUGUUGUAUUAUUUUGCAAGUUUGAAAAUCUUAUAUAAAAGUUGUAUCACAAUACACAAGGAUGCAUCUUUUAAAUAUUGGGUUGGUCAGAAAGUUCGUUCAGGUUUUUCCGUAACAUCUAAUGUUUCUAUCAUAGUAAUACAUGCUGUCAACUGCUAGUUGGGGAUGAAACUUUCCAACCUCUCUUCCUACUUUCCCCAGGAAGGGGUUAUCAUGGAGAUCAGAGCUGAGACUCUAGAGAGGCCUUGCCUGGACUGGAAUCCAGAAUCUUCUAUUCAGCAGCAGUGGAACAUUUGACAAAUUACUUACUCUGGUCUUCAAUUUCCGCAUAUGUAAAAUAGAGGCAAUGACAGUCCCUAUUUCAUAAAGUCAUUUGAGUAUAAAUUAAGGCUAUGCAGGGGAAGCACUUGGCACAGUGAAGCACAGCAUCUAGACGUGCUCACUAAGUGUUUAUCAUCGUCAUCGUCUCUUUUUUUUUUUAAAGGGAAUUUUAUUUAUUUAUUUAUUUAUUUAUUUAUUUAUUUACUUACUUAUUUAUUUAUGGCUGGCUGGCUGGCUGGCUGGCUGGCUGUGUUGGGUCUUCGUUUCUGUGCGAGGGCUUUCUCUAGUUGCAGCAAGCGGGGGCCACUCUUCAUCGCGGUGCGCAGGCCUCUCACUAUGGCGGCCUCUCUUGUUGCGGAGCGCAGGCUCCAGACGCGCAGGCUCAGCAAUUGUGGCUCACGGGCCCAGUCGCUCCGCGGCAUGUGGGAUCUUCCCAGACCAGGGCUCGAACCCGUGUCCCCUGCAUUGGCAGGCAGACUCCCAACCACUGCGCCACCAGGGAAACCCUGUCAUCAUCUUUAUUAUUGCAGAGAAUGAAUCUAGAUGUUGCCCUCUCUUCCUGUAAUGAAAGAGUGGUGCACAUAACCAGAGCCAGCUCAGACAGGGGAGUAAGAUGUUUUCUGCCCUCUCGCAGGGCUGUGCUAAUCAACAGUUAACACGCAGCUCUGGGCAAGGGUCGUGGAUAGGGAGCCACACUUUGCAGUGUUCACCAGUUUCCACGUUGUAAAUUCUCCCACCAUGGCUGACUGCAAGCUGUCAACUUGAGUUCACUGAAUGCUGACUGCAGAGUUGGGAAGAGUUAUCAGAAUCAGCUCUCAAGUCAUGUGAGCCUGCUCCAGCACACUCAAGCGAGAAUUUGUCUUUUUUGCUGCCUCUUUGUUCACUGCUGAAACCAGGAUCUGUUCCCUCUCAGGCAGAGGACCAGGCAUACAUAUCUGAUGUGCUCCUGCUGAGGUAAGAGUUUAUUUAUGCCUGGAAGAUAGAGGAAGUCUUCAGAUCUGAAGCCCAAAGCAGUGCUCAUGCGCAGCUUACCAGAGUACACAUAGCAAGUGAUACUUUAAUUCUCAUUUGUUAGUUCCCUUUGUGUCCCUGAGGGAUCUUAGGUGUGAGUGUGGGUGUGACCACAGUCUAGGGUAAGAUUCUGUUAUCUUUGGUCAUGUGGCCAUAAUGCCUUCUUAAGACCAACAGCACCUUACCUAUUUUUAACAUGUAGCAUUUUGCACUGCACUAUUUCUACUUAAGACGUUCAAGUAAUCAUCUUUCCUCAGUCUUUAUAGAUACUUUCUAAUGGCUGCAUAAUUCCAUUAAUACACCUAAGUAUAAGGUAUAUGUAAAGGAAAAAGAACCAGGAGGCAAAAACUGGGGAAAAUGACAUAAAUGUAAGAAAAAAAUAAUAAUUUCAAAAACUGAGUAUGGUCUUAGCUGUUGAUGAGAAAAGUAAAUUGAGCCCUGAAAAAUAACUGAAUAAUUGAAUCUUACAAUUAGGUCUCUAAUGCUUUCAGGAAGAGAAAGUUCAUCUCCUUACGCGGGGCAGAGGUGGGUAGGGGGCGUGAAAUGCAUUACCUCGUGUAGAAGUCAAGUGGAGAAACUAAGGCUGGAGUGAUUCAUUAAGCUGCUCAGGAUCACACAGGGCAGAUCACCCAGGCCAGGCUUCAUUCCACUAUAGUCAGGAAUGAAUGAGAAUUAAGGAAAUGGAGACAGGAGGUAUGAACAAUUCUUUCCGGAAGCAUAAUGGGGAAAGAAGAGAAAGAGCAAUGACUAAAUAAAGUAUGAGGACAUGGAAUCACUGCUUCUAUAAUAAAUAUAAGGCUCAGCUCCUCCAAAGUUGACAUUGAAAAAGGCCCCAGUGAGUGCAGGGCCAGAAGCAGACAGACCACAGAACCCUAAACCCUGUCCUGGAGAUUUGUCUGUAUUUUGGGACACUCAUUAUCUUUGCUCCAUCAGAGCCUCCUCGGAUCCAUUCUUCCUUUCAUAUUUGAGGCCCAUAUGUGAGAUGACAAAAGACAUUUCUUAAUAUCCCGUGGCACAAUCAAGUCAAAGCCAGAAAGUUUAACCCAGGGGUCCCCCACCCCGAGUCCGCAGACCAGUACCGGUCUGUGGCCUGUUAGCAGCCAGGCCGCACAGCAGGAGGUGAGCAGCGGGCAAGCGAGCAAAGCUUCAUCUGCCACUCCCCACCGCUCCCAUUACCGCCUGAGCCACCCUCCCCCCACCCAGUCUGUGGAAAAAUUGUCUUCCAUAAAACUGGUCCCUGCUGCCAAAAAAGUUGGGGACCACUGGUAAACAGCCUUUCUCAAGGCAAGGGCAAUGUUUCCUAACCUUGCCGGUCACAGAGACUGCCCCAGACACUCAUUUAAAUAUACGGAAUGUCAGGAGAUUUGGAUUCAGUUCUCUGGUGGGGGCCUGGGAAUGGGUAUUUUAAAGUAAUGCCAGUUAUCCUUAAUUUCCUGCAGGGUUGGGUAUCACUGUGCUGGCAAGUAACAAAGAGAAAUAAACACAGUAGCAUAAAUCCCCGUAGUCUGGCUCAAAAGAAACGGCCUACUCAUAACCAUGCUGGGGUCCCCAGCCUACCCCUGUGAUUUGAUGCCAUCUUGGCAUGUGCUGGCUUAAUCUCCAGCCCAAUCUGGGCACAAUAGAGGGAGGUCCAUCGCCAAAUUAUCAGGUGGCAGGAGAGAAGGGAAAGAGGGUUUCUUCUGUUCUUAAUAUGUUUCAAACUGACUACUAGUUCCUAACCAGCAUGCCAAUACAGACAAGACCUGUCUUUGCCCACCUCAUCCCCUUCUUCUCUGUCCCUCAGGCAGGCACCUGGAGGUGGCAGCCCCCUCCUUCCUACAGCCUUCUCAGUCUUCGGGAGGGUGACCCUACAUCUUGGUUUGCCUGGGGGAGAGUCUUGACUUAAGCCCAGAGUUCUCUCUGGUUUGGUGUCCCCUUUCAUUCUCAAAAAGGUCCCAGUGUGGAGCAUAAAUCCUAUCGUCAUGCUGUCUAUGAACAGAGUGAGAACAAAAACAUAAGUGCACAAAAGCAAGAAGUAGUCUGCCAGCAAUUUACACAAUGACUUCCAAUUAUCAAGCAAAUCACUCUGUGACACUGCAUACAUCGUUUCAAUUAAUUCUCACAGCAACCCCAUGAGGGAGCUCUGGGCACAUGAAUUCUUGCAGGUAAGGAAAGUAACCGGGUUAAAUGACUUGACCAGGGUCAUCCAACUAUGAGGAGCAGAACUGGAUUCAAACAUCCAUCUGAGUGACCGCAACUUCUGCUCUAAAGGGGGCCUGCCUGACUCCUCAGGCCAUGUGGCCACCCCCACCCCCACCAAUUUCUGACUGUGUUAAGAAACAGAACUUUACCAAGAACGUUGGUCAGUUUCAACACUAAAGGAACUCUCUCAAUUUUCAUAUUUUUCAUCUUACAUUUGAAAGUAGAGUCUAUUUCUGCAGCUGUGUACAUAAUUCAGCUCUUGUUUCUGUAACCUAAUUUGAAAGAACACUUCCAAAAGAAGCAAUGAAGUCUACAAAAGCACAGUUUGACUCAAGUGGAUCCAACCAAUUUGCAAAUGGAAAAUAACACGGAGGAAUAAGUUUUGCAUCACAAGUGUGGCUGCUUCAAGUCAUCUUUCAUGAAACUAAAGAUAGAAAGUUCUGCCGGUAACAAAACCUGCUCUACACGCCAGGAGGAAAAAGGACUUGAAGGAAGAGGAAGAACACAUUUUUCAAAAUUCUUUUCAAAAUAUAUGAGGGGGAAAAAAAUAUAAGAAGCGGAGAAAUAUGCCACUCGAUACAGGAGUCACUCUGGACAAGUGUCUUGGAAUCAAGUCCUAAAGGACAGCCAUCAUGGCAACAAAAGGUGGAUGUAAUUACAAAUAAGGACCUUGGAAGAAUCUCUAAAACGGUUCCUACAAAGAGUGCAGUUCAGAAAAAUCUAUGCAAAAGAAGAAAGACAAAAGUGGAACCUCAUGAGAGCAGAGAAAAAGCAAAAGGGAGUUUCUCCAUUUUCUCAUAAUGAAAGACCAUUAAUCAGAAGACAAAUAAAAAUGUAGAUCAAAUGAUCCUUUGUUACCUAUUUUUACUCAACUGUACUUGAGGAAUCCAUUGAUUAAACUGCCAGCAAACCAAAAGAAAAAAAAGAAAAUCAUAUGCUUCUCCUGAUGCCCAAGUGGCCUUGGUUAUGUCAUAUAUGGUGAUCAAGACUAUAACUACUUAGUGACACUGGUUUGCUGGCUUAACCAAAGUAAUGGUAAUACAAACCACACUGAGCGACAAAUCUCAAAGUGGAGUGCUCAGGUUAUAUUUUUGUAUGUGGGAAUGUGUGGGCCACAAUCUCUCUGUUGGGGAUGGGAUUGCUUUUUGGCCCAACUACUGCACUCUGUAAUUAUUGCAAUGACACUGUAGACCAGAAGGUCAGUCUAAACCCCCUUGUGUGGAUCAUAAUGGAUUAUAGCUUCACCUUGGACCUCAUCCUGGCUGUCUGAAAUAAGACCUACUGAUCCCCUAUGGAACUUACUCAUAGUUGGCUGAGUCUGCACCCUUGGCGGGGAAGAGUGUGACUGAGGUAAAGACUGCAAGAUGGUCCCAUCCUGCUGCUUGGAGUCCUGUUGAUAGUAGUUUUGAUUAAAUGUUGAAUGAGACAAAUUAAAUGAAUUUGCUCCCAGUCUCUGUGGUCAGAUUAAUCAGAGUAGCUGGUGGAGUGGCACACUUUGGGUAAAAACUCAAGUUCGGCCAAGACUGCAUUAUUCCGGGCUGAGGGGUGGAGAGGAAUCUGCCAUGGGCCCUGGUGUCUCUGCAUGUUCCUGCUGGGUAUGCCAUGAAUGCAAACCCCUGACCUUUCUUUCCCGGGGCCAUUUUUCAGAGUUGUAUUUGUAGCAAGCAACCUUGAAGAAGGGGUAAUGUCUCUCCCAGACAAAGAGCAGGCUGGCUUUCACUUACUAUACAGAGAAUCUCCCCAGCUCCAUGAUUCUUUCCUCUAGUACAACCCACUGCAUUCCCAGACAUCCAUCAUGGACCCUUUGUGUCACCUUUGUGGGGCUUGUGGGACAUGGAGAACCAACACAAAUCAACAUAAAGCUCUGAAUACUACUUUUGCUGUGAGCAAUAAAGUCCUUUGUCUGUGACUCAGGAAUUUUGGGUCUUCUGCCAGCAUCCACAAAACAGGACCGCUUGUAAGCAGGGUACAAUCCAAGGCCUUGCACAGAUCCUGACAGUCCUAUAUUUGGAUUUGGCUGAUGGUGCUCUAGUGGAGUCAUUUAACUUGUUCUCUACGCCUAUAAAUUGGAAGCCAAAUCUAGAAGUUUCAUCAGAUUCAAGCUCAGCUUUUAUGGCAGAAACACUUUGCAUUGGUGAUGUGUCCUUUUUAUUACACCACGUUAGGAGACGUAACAUCAGGUUUUCCAGUUUUAGUGAUGCUCAGCCUAGCCAGUGGAUUCAGUUGCUUUCAGUACAGUAUAAAGUUGUCCAUCAGCAUUUCGUCUAAUAAUUUUAGCAUUCAUUGAUGAUCAUUGCCCUGAUCCCUUAUUUCAUUUGUGUUUUUUUUAAGGGUAACAUUUAAAUGGUAUCAUUCUUCUUCCAUUUACCCUCUGUGAUUCUUCGGUAAGGGAGAACUUUCUAUCAUUGACUAUUUGGUUGCCCUAAAAUCAGUUCAUCCCUUUAAGCCUCUUCUCUGGGCCCCUUGUUUCAGGGAACCUCACACUUUGGAGUUCCUUCUUCCAACUCUUCUAAGUCUCUCUCUGUUACCUGGAACCAGCCAGGGUUAGCAGGGCCAACCAGGUGAGGUGCCCCAAACCCAGAAUGGGACAUGGUUUGGUCAUAAACUUGGGUUCAUUAGUUUCAAGUUUUUGUUUUGUUUUGUUUAGGGAUUACUUUUUUUCUUUUGUUUUAAU